GCAACCGGGAUGAGGUGGUGCUGGAGCUCAAAGACUGGGAAGACACAGCGGCUAGGGGGCUCAGCGCCCAGCGCCCGCCUCUUCUGAAGGGAAGGCUGCCACCCACACACCAAGCUGGGCGUGCCCUCCGCUGGGCAAGAUCAAGGCACUAUUCAGGGAUCCCACGACUGAUGAUAUUUUCCAGAAGGUUCUGUGUGGUGGUAGAAGACAGAACAGCGUCCAAAGCUCCCUGCUCAGCACUCACCUUACGUUCUUGGAGAAGCGUCCCCUGAUCUCAGAUCCUGCCCCUUGUUUAGGACUGGGGUACCCUAUCUAGGAGCUGCUGCCCUGACAAGACAACUUUUUACUCA